rnacentral:tRNA from 1 species
UCCCUAGCAGUUUAGUGGCUAAGACUCUGCGCUCCCAAUGCGGGUGCCUGGGUUCAAUCCCUGGUUGGGGAA